CCUCUAAUUCUUUUCAUUUUCUCUCUCUAACGCUCUAUUUAUUUUGAUGUAAAUUAUUUUCAAAAAAAUAUUUUUCCAUUUUACUAUAUUUAUUUUGCAGUAAAAUAUUUAAUAAAAAUUAAAUAUUUUCAAUCAACAAAAUCUAGUAUGCAAAUUUUUUUCACUAAAAAUUUUGGUAAAACAUUUUUCAUUUGCCCUCUGAGUCUCACCCCGCUGCUUUCACUCCCUCAGUCGUAAGUCCCUCUAAUGCUAUCUCUCCCUUCCCACAAACCUGAGCCACCAAACCAUUCUUAGGUUCGCAGCACCACUCAUCUCCGGCAGCUCUCAUCGUCAGCUCUACCUCUGCCACCACAAACCAAAGACACUAAAUCACUCAGGUUCGCGGCGCCACCCAUCUCCGAUGGCUCUCAUCAUCGGCUCUCAUCGUCAGCUCUACUCCUCUGCCCACCGAUUCUUGGUUUGACCACUCAAAUCCAUCAAUUCUUUUUUCAGUCCGACCAUACACCGUCUCUGACUCCACCGCCGAUUCAUUUAUCCCCAUCACACCGGCUCUACCUCCAUCGUUGUCAACUCACCCAUCGGUUCUCAGAUAUGGGUUUUUGAACCACUGGGCAUUUUCGCUGGUUUAUGGGUUAUGGUGGGUGGCUGGGAUGGUUUGAGGGUCACGGUGAUGGCUGAGUUUUUGGGUGGCUAGAAUGGUUUGUGGGUUAUGGUGGGUGGUUGGCCGGCUUUGGCUUUGGCUUUUUUUUCCCUUCUCCAAUUUGUGGAUUUGAGUUGUCAGUCAGUCAGUGGAGUGUUAGGGUGGUGGUAGGUGGGUUUGUGCAGAUAUGGUGGUGGUUUGGGUGGUUGGUGGUGUGGUGGUGGGUUGGAUUUUGCCGUAUUAGGUGGUGGUUGUGAGAUUCUUAAAUCUUUUUCAUUUUGUUGAAACAUACAUUUUGUUUGCAUUUUCAAGAAUGCAAACCAAAUACUGUAAAAGCAAAAUAUUUUGCAUGUAAAAUAAAAUAUUUUACUUUUGUAAACAUUUUAGGUCGAAACAAACGGACCGUAAAUCUUUCUCUGUGAAAAUUCUUUCUCUCUCUCUAUAUGCACCUAUACAUAUAUGUGUAUAAGCAAAUCUGGUAGUGUCGGUGAUUGUGGAUGCGAUAGUUGCUCCGUUUGAUCGUUUCCUAUACUGAUCGGAUCUGUGGUAAAAAAUUUAUGCGCUUUUUUAUUUAUUUACUUAUUUUUUCAAUUUUUGAAUCGAAAUCUAAGGUAUUCGUAGAUCUGUUUUCAAUUCGCAUCAAUAGGUUUUUUGUUUUGAUUUUCGUUUUGCUGAACAAUUAGCUUUCUGUUUGGUUGUUAAGAAACUGUUGGAAAGAAAAAACAAAAAAAAAAUUUGUUAGUACUAAUUUAAAAUCUACAUACAUGUUUUGGUAGUGUUUCAGUUAUUAAGGAAGUUAAAAUGCUGCUGAUUACUGACAUGCCUUUUUGUUUUGAUUGGAAAAUAACUUUCCCUUUUCAUUCAUUUUUAGUUUAUUACCUUAACUGAUAAAAGUAAUUUCUUUCGUUUUAUCUGUCUUGUUUGGGUAUUUCAGGGCAUGUAGCUUGCUUGUCAAUGUUUUCUACUUUUAUUAGGAUUCAGUAAUAUAUUUGUUUCAUUUGUCUACUUGGCUUCUCUCUAUAAUAGCGUAUAGAUACUUAUUAUGUAUCUAAAUAUGCAUUAAAGCUGGAAGUUCCGUUCUUUCAAUUUCAUCAUAUCAAUUUCAUCAUUCCACUUUCCCAUGUCCUUCAAUUCCCCACUAAAAUCCAUUUUGGUGGCUUAUCAGAUUUUAAUGGUACUGGAAUCUUAUAAUAAAUUGUUCAGGCUUUUGACACUGAAGGCAUGGACAUGGAAAUUGACUUAUCUAGUCUUGGUACCGUCAAUACAAUGUUUGCGGCUUUAUUCAGCAAGCUGGGUGUCCCAAUUAAGACUACAAUUUCUGCUAAUGUUCUUGAAGAAGCUCUGAAUGGUACUGUUACAAUCAGACCUCUUCCAAUUGGCACAUUAGUUAGUGGAAAGUUGUCAACUUAACACUGAUAGAUUUCCCUAAUUUGACAAAGGUUGCCAUAGAGGGACAGCCAGAAAAUAUUGUUCAAGACAUUGAAAACAUGGUUCGUUCAUAUGUUGAGAAGAUGGAUCGAUACCAGAGAGUGGAGAAGCCGAAAGCAGAUACUCUGAUUGAUGAGAAUGAGAUUCGGAUUACCAGUCACGGAAGGAUGCGCAACUAUAUCACCUAUGCCAUGAGCCUCCUUCACAUAUAUCUCUAUCUCUCUGUUCUUUUUUUUUUUUUUUUUUUUUUUU